UACGGAGGGUGCGAGCGUUGUCCGGAAUCACUGGGCGUAAAGGGCGCGUAGGCGGCGCGGGAAGUCAUCGGUGAAAGUUCAGGGCUCAACUCUGAAUCGGCCGGUGAUACUCUCGUGCUUGAGCACUGUAGAGGCAGGUGGAAUUCCGGGUGUAGCGGUGGAAUGCGUAGAGAUCCGGAAGAACACCGGUGGCGAAGGCGGCCUGCUGGGCUGACACUGACGCUGAUGCGCGAAAGCUAGGGGAGCGAACGGG
rnacentral:rRNA from 1 species